UACCCCUAGCAAAUCUCAAAAAACCGUCUCAGUUCGGAUUGGGCUCUGCAACUCGAGCCCAUGAAGUUGGAAUCGCUAGUAAUCGUGGAUCAGCAUGCCACGGUGAAUACGUUCCCGGGCCUUGUACACACCGCCCGUCACACCAUGGGAGUUGGUUUUACCUGAAGACGGUGCGCUAACCGCAAGGAGGCUAUCGGCGAAGGUGGGGUCAGCGACUGGGGUGAAG
rnacentral:rRNA from 1 species